rnacentral:rRNA from 1 species
AAUAGAUACCCGGGUAGUCCUAGCCGUAAACGAUACUCGCUAGGUGUCGGCCACGGUGCGACCGUUGUCGGUGCCGUAGGGAAGCCGUGAAGCGAGCCACCUGGGAAGUACGGCCGCAAGGCUGAAACUUAAAGGAAUUGGCGGGGGAGCACCACAACGGGUGGAGCUUGCGGUUUAAUUGGAUUCAACGCCGGAAAUCUUACCGGGACCGACAGCAAUAUGAAGGCCAGGCUGAAGACUUUGCCGGAUUAGCUGAGAGGUGGUGCAUGGCCGUCGUCAGUUCGUACUGUGAAGCAUCCUGUUAAGUCAGGCAACGAGCGAGACCCCACGCCCACAGUUGCCAGCGUACUCUCCGGAGUGACGGGGUACACUGUGGGGACCGCCGCUGCUAAAGCGGAGGAAGGAAUGGGCAACGGUAGGUCAGUAUGCCCCGAAUAUCCCGGGCUACACGCGAGCUACAAUGGUUGGUACAACGGGUAUCUACCCCGAAAGGGGAUGGAAAUCUCCGUAAAGCCAAUCUUAGUUCGGAUUGAGGGCUGCAACUCGCCCUCA